AUUGAACGCUGGCGGCAGGCCUAACACAUGCAAGUCGAGCGAGCGGCGGACGGGUGAGUAAUGUCUGGGAAACUGCCUGAUGGAGGGGGAUAACUACUGGAAACGGUAGCUAAUACCGCAUACCAUCAGAUGUGCCCAGAUGGGAUUAGCUAGUAGGUGGGGUAAUGGCUCCCCUAGGCGACGAUCCCUAGCUGGUCUGAGAGGAUGACCAGCCACACUGGACCUGAGACACGGUCCUGCCUCCACCGGGAGGCAGCAGUGGGGAAUAGUGCACAAUUGGCGCAAGCCUGAUGCAGCCAUUGCGCGUGUGUGAAGAAGGCCUUCGGGUUGUAAAGCUCUUUCAGCGGGGAGGCGUUACCCGCAGGAGAAGCACCGGCUAACUCCGUGCCAGCAGCCGCGGUAAUUC
rnacentral:rRNA from 1 species